rnacentral:rRNA from 1 species
GAUGAACGCUGGCGGCGUGCCUAAUACAUGCAAGUCGAGCGAACAGAUGAGGAGCUUGCUCCUCUGACGUUAGCGGCGGACGGGUGAGUAACACGUGGAUAACCUACCUAUAGGACUGGGAUAACUUCGGGAAACCGGAGCUAAUACCGGAUAAUAUAUUGAACCGCAUGGUUCAAUAGUGAAAGACGGUUUUGCUGUCACUUAUAGAUGGAUCCGCGCCGCAUUAGCUAGUUGGUAAGGUAACGGCUUACCAAGGCAACGAUGCGUAGCCGACCUGAGAGGGUGAUCGGCCACACUGGAACUGAGACACGGUCCAGACUCCUACGGGAGGCAGCAGUAGGGAAUCUUCCGCAAUGGGCGAAAGCCUGACGGAGCAGCGCCGCGUGAGUGAUGAAGGUCUUCGGAUCGUAAAACUCUGUUAUUAGGGAAGAACAAAUGUGUAAGUAACUAUGCACGUCUUGACGGUACCUAAUCAGAAAGCCACGGCUAACUACGUG